AGCUUUGUAGUCAAUUAUGAUUUUAAAUUGCAAAUUUAAAGGUAAGUUUUAAACUUUUUAGCUU
rnacentral:tRNA from 1 species